rnacentral:rRNA from 1 species
UACGGAGGGUGCAAGCGUUAUCCGGAUUCACUGGGCGUAAAGGGCGCGUAGGCGGUUCGUUAAGUCCUGUGUGAAAUCCCCCGGCUCAACUGGGGAACUGCACAGGAAACUAGCGGGCUUGAGUUCGGGAGAGGGAAGCGGAAUUCCGGGUGUAGCGGUGAAAUGGCGUAGAUAUCCGGAGGAACACCGGUGGCGAAGGAGGCU